rnacentral:rRNA from 1 species
UACGUAGGGUGCGAGCGUUAAUCGGAAUUACUGGGCGUAAAGCGCGUGUAGGCGGCCAUCUAAGUCGGGCGUGAAAUCCCACGGCUCAACCGUGGAAGUGCACUCGAAACUGGAUGGCUAGAGUCCUGGAGAGGAAGGUGGAAUGCUUGGUGUAGAGGUGAAAUUCGUAGAUAUCAAGCGGAACACCGGUGGCGAAGGCGGCCUUCUGGACAGUGACUGACGCUGAGACGCGAAAGCGUGGGGAGCAAACAGG